CUAAAUCCACACAUAUACCGACACACCAUCAUGGGUGCUUUGCGCUUGGUUUUAAAACCAGCGACAGGGUUUGAUCGUGGGGUAUAUGGAGGCCUAAC
rnacentral:sRNA from 1 species